CAGGAUGCUUGGCAGUCAUACCAGCAGAAUUGCACAAUGUGACAAACUGGUGCCAUGUUGGUGUGAUAUCCUUCAUGAGCUGCCAUAACCAGCCUGCUUGAAGAAAAGGAUACUCAUAAGCUCCAUUUGUAGCAAUGCCUGCCAGGCAUAGAAAGCCAGAAGACGCCGAAGAGCUGAAGGAAGGCUUGUAACUGCUUUCUUUGAGGAAAACCAAAGACAGCAAGAGCAACUUUGGACAGGGUAGGAAGUACAUCACAAUGGCAGGAUGGUUCAGGAAAUAAAGCAGAAAAUCAGCAGAGAGAGGAUUCUGUGGAGUAUUUACAAAUGAUCUUGGGCUUGACUCAAGUGGCUGCCAAAUCUAAAAGAGAUCUCUUAGCAGGUUUUCGUGAAACAUGGGUUGAAAUCCCUACUCUUUGCAGGACAGGAAAGGGGAACUCAAGGUUCUCUUCAGUUCUUCAGAGUGUCAGACACCAAGCCACUCAAGGGGGAGAGAAGAUGAUUCUGUUACUGGCGUGGGUAAUGACAAGGACCUCCGAAAAAAUACCACUUACCAAAGAAUCCACACUGGACUGCACUGCAACAUUUAUUGAUGAAGACAGAUCUGAAAAGAACACCACAAUUCUUAGUUGGUCAAGUACAAGGUUCUAGUUUUGGUGUACAAAGCUCUACAAAGCUUGGGACCAGGACACCUGAAAGAUCGUCUUACCCCUUAUAUACCCAGUCAAUCACUAUGCUCUGCAGGUGAGGGCCUCCUGCAGAUGCCAUGUUAUCAGGAGGUUCGUUCCGCACAACAGAGGAAACAGACCUUUAGCGCUGUGGCACCUACCCUUUGGAAUUCCCUCCCCUUACAUAUUAGACAGGUGCCAUCUCUGUUAUCUUUUCGGCGCCUACUGGAGACUUCCUCUUUCAACAAGCCUUUUAAGUAGAGACCUUAUCCCAGUCUGCAUCUGUUUGGGAAUUAUUUUUUAAGAUGUUUUUAAAGUUUUUUUUCAAAG